rnacentral:rRNA from 1 species
GACGAACGCUGGCGGCGUGCCUAAUACAUGCAAGUAGAACGCUGAAGAGAGGAGCUUGCUCUUCUUGGAUGAGUUGCGAACGGGUGAGUAACGCGUAGGUAACCUGCCUUGUAGCGGGGGAUAACUAUUGGAAACGAUAGCUAAUACCGCAUAACAAUGGAUGACACAUGUCAUUUAUUUGAAAGGGGCAAUUGCUCCACUACAAGAUGGACCUGCGUUGUAUUAGCUAGUAGGUGAGGUAAUGGCUCACCUAGGCGACGAUACAUAGCCGACCUGAGAGGGGGAUCGGCCACACUGGGACUGAGACACGGCCCAGACUCCUACGGGAGGCAGCAGUAGGGAAUCGUCGGCAAUGGGGGCAACCCUGACCGAGCAACGCCGCGUGAGUGAAGAAGGUUUUCGGAUCGUAAAGCUCUGUUGUAAGUCAAGAACGGGUGUGAGAGUGGAAAGUUCACACUGUGACGGUAGCUUACCAGAAAGGGACGGCUAACUACGUG